AUCCUGAGCCUCGCAGCAGCUGAUUGAAACCUUGGGAGAGGAGUGUAGCUGUUAGUAGGAGAGCAGUCCAGUCUCCUGUGCCUAGAAAUGGAGCUUUGGCAUUCGCACGUGCAGAUGCAGCUGGAUCUCUCUCACCUUUUUCACUAGAAGCUUGCGACAGGGUGAAGGUACAGGCAAGAAGCUCAGGAAAAAAAAUAAAAAAUCACAAGCAGCCGAGAAGAAAAGACAAAAUAAAUCCUCCCACUGAGGAAGAGAGCUCAGAGCUCAUUUAUUUCAACUUCCAACUUACGCUGAGAUUUUCCAAUUUGCUGACAAUGAAAAGUACAUCGAAUCUUGGCUGAGAACUGCUUUGGUAACUUGAUAUGCAUCUGACUCAACUGAACCUCAGCAGCAAAGGAGGAACCAGUGGUAAUCCAAAUUCACAGUGGCUCUGGGGAGCAAGCUAAGCUGUUGUAGUUUAUCCUCACUGCUUAGCUCAAUCGGUCCUGGUCCACAUGCACAGAGGAAGAAUUUGCUAUGCAGCUGCUGCCCUCUUUAUUUCAUUGCCAUAUCUACGAGGCUGGUGUCAGGAGUGUAGAGGAAAGCAGCAGGCUCAUUUACAAGCUAGGAAGCCAACUUGUAGCUAUUCAUAUUUGCUAUAGGCUCUCAAGGCCGAACUUCUACUUACUAAGAAUGUAAAAGAUUUGGGACUCUGAGCUACCUACUUGAAAAGCAACUUCCAGAAUUUAUCUGUAUACCCACAGUUUGAAGAAAUGAAACUAAACCUUUCUAAUGCUCUACAGUCAUGCCAUGAAAUAUCCCAAGUUAUGACUGUCCUGUAAGAUCCGUGCAAUGCAAAACAACUCUAAUCAUAAAAUUUUCCUCAAAUUUGUUUGGAUGACAAUAUAUAAUUAUAAUUGAAUUUUAAGCUAAAAAUGGAUUUAUAAUGUUCCUUAAAAUGAUAUCGUAAGUUACUAUUAGUUUAAGACCUUUCCUUUCAUGUGUAAUCGACAUCCAUACUCAGAUGCUCCGAGGCACACAGCAAGAACAACGCUGGUAUUUAAGCACUGAGAUGUCACAAUGGAUGCACUACCAGACACUGCAUCGAGAGGGAGAAAAGAACAUGUUUUUCAACUUCAACUCCAUCCUUUUAAUAAGGGUAUAAAAAAAAAACCCUGUGAUAGCAAUGCACAGACAAUAGCUGGCUGUCUUUGGUGAUCCAGCUUCCAGAGUCCUGAGUUAACAAGCAGCAUCAGGCAAAAUGGCUAUGAAAAAGGCAGAGACCGAUUUUAAAAUCUUAAGAUUUUAAGAGCAGAAUGAAGUUCCUUCCUUGGUAACUGGGUGACUAUGACAUCUCCUGCACAGCUCAUGGGAGGGGGGUAAGGAGUGUAGAGGUGACCUUAGAAGUUUGCUGGUAAAGCAACUUGUGAAGAGAGAUGUUUAGAACUUCAUGCAAAACAUUUAGGAUCACAAAUAUUUUUCAAAAAUGUGACUGACACAUCACUGAGGACUUCUAAGGGCAGCGUUGCUGGAUACCACAUCUUAGUUCCUCAAAUAGGGCCUGAGUUUAAUGACUCUGGGAAAGGUUAUGCAGUCUAUAUGGUAGCUUUGAAGUACACUUUCAUGGCAACAGUCCCAAUGAGAAACUGUAUUUAGUGUUAUUGUGAUCCUCCAAGUACAGGAAUAGUUUCUGCUAGCACAGUUUCUUUGCCUCACUGCUCACACUUUCAAGAUCAGUGGACCACAUCUUUAUACUGCCAGUUCAUCUAGGUAGAUUUUCUUUCCAGUCCCCCAGAAAAGUAUUUGUGAUGGCCGAUGUUUCUCCUCAAAAUCCUGGAAAACAUGCUGAAUAUAUUCUUUCUCUUGCUUAGCUCUCUGCUUGAGUUGGUUACAUAGAGUAGGAGAAGUCUUUGAGAGACUGAGUUGUUACUCUCUUGAGCAACAGAAGCUGGAGGCAAGUGGUUAACUUAGAAGUUUUAGUCAUGUCAGUUUGUUCCUUGCUAUCUAUCAAGAGAUAACUGCUUGUGAUCAUGUGCUCCUAUACUCCUGUUUUGGUCCUAGCACAAAAGUAGGCAUCAGCUAGUUUCUUGAGUAAAGGCAUUUAGUAUCACUUCAGAGUGUCUAAAGAUCUUGCCUGAAGAUACCUUUCCUGUGUCUUACUCAGGCAGCUGCCUCAAAUACCACAGGCAUUUCAAAUGUAACUUCCUACCUAUUUUUGGGAAACUGAAUUGAGCCCAAGGACUCAA